CCUCAUCUUCUCUAUGAAGUUAGGAACUUGACUUAAUAACAUUCCAGUGAUGUAGAAUGCUACUCCUCUCCUUCCCUCCUCACAAAACCAUCUCUAAACUCCUGAACUACUGCCCACAAAGUCCCCAAUGGUCCCUCACAGUGCUGGACUGGUUGGUGGAUUAUAUUGGUGGAUUUUAGUAUACUGAACCAUCCCUACAUCCCUGGGAAGAAGUCCCAUAGUUCAUAGUUCAUGAUGCAUUCAUCAACUUAUGAGGUUCCAAGCAGUUGAUGUAAGGUGGAAAGUCUUAAGUUGGAUGAAAUGAUUCAGCCAUCCACAUCACAGAACUACAGCUGGGCCACACUCUGAGGCUGGAGAAAGUGAUUCCAGCAAUCAAGAUGGAUUUUUUUUUUUCUGUAAAGUAUCAGCUCUCAUUCCCUGAACAGAUGCUCUACAAACAUAUAAACAUCUCUUCUAUAAACAGACAGUACUUCUGUGGAAAUUGAGAGGAAGAAUUUAAUUACAGCUUGGAGCCAACCCUGUGCACCACAAGGAGUCCUGCCUGCAUUUGAAAAAUGCACAUUCCUCUCCCAUACACUCUGCUACAAAAUGUCUCAUUUGGCCAACAGACAGCAAGCACAUG
rnacentral:lncRNA from 1 species